AUUGAACGCUGGCGGCAUGCUUUACACAUGCAAGUCGAACGGUAACAGGCCUUCGGGUGCUGACGAGUGGCGAACGGGUGAGUAAUGCAUCGGAACGUGCCCAGAGGUGGGGGAUAACGCAGCGAAAGCUGUGCUAAUACCGCAUGUGAUCUGAGGAUGAAAGCGGGGGACCAGGCAGCAAUGUUUGGCCUCGCGCCUUUGGAGCGGCCGAUGUCAGAUUAGGUAGUUGGUGGGGUAAAGGCCUACCAAGCCGACGAUCUGUAGCUGGUCUGAGAGGACGACCAGCCACACUGGGACUGAGACACGGCCCAGACUCCUACGGGAGGCAGCAGUGGGGAAUUUUGGACAAUGGGCGCAAGCCUGAUCCAGCAAUGCCGCGUGCGGGAAGAAGGCCUUCGGGUUGUAAACCGCUUUUGUACGGAACGAAAAGGCUCUGGCUAAUAUCUGGGGCUGAUGACGGUACCGUAAGAAUAAGCACCGGCUAACUACGUG
rnacentral:rRNA from 1 species